AUUGAACGCUGGCGGCAGGCCUAACACAUGCAAGUCGAGCGGAUGAAGGGAGCUUGCUCCUGGAUUCAGCGGCGGACGGGUGAGUAAUGCCUAGGAAUCUGCCUGGUAGUGGGGGAUAACGUCCGGAAACGGGCGCUAAUACCGCAUACGUCCUGAGGGAGAAAGUGGGGGAUCUUCGGACCUCACGCUAUCAGAUGAGCCUAGGUCGGAUUAGCUAGUUGGUGGGGUAAAGGCCUACCAAGGCGACGAUCCGUAACUGGUCUGAGAGGAUGAUCAGUCACACUGGAACGGAGACACGGACCAGACUCCUACGGGAGGCAGCAGUUGGGAAUAUUGGACAAUGGGCGGAAACCUGAUCCAGCCAUGCCGCGUGUGUGAAGAAGGUCUUCGGAUUGUAAAGAACUUUAAGUUGGGAGGAAGGGCAGUAAGUUCAUACCUUGCUGUUUUGACGUUACCAGCAGAAUAAGCACCGGCUAACUUCGUG
rnacentral:rRNA from 1 species